rnacentral:lncRNA from 1 species
AUGUGGUUGAUAAAUGACAGCUCGCUCUCUGACCCACCCAUCCAUAUCGUCAUGACCCUCAGGUUCAUGGUCACCCUCAGCAUCGGGUCUCCGACCCGUGACUCCACGAGGAGGUACAGCCUGGGCCAUCCCAAGAGGCUCUGCUGCGAGGUGCCCGCUGUCCAUCAGGGUACUGGGCAGGGCCCAGACCCCAGACCCAGGCCAAAAGAGGAGGCCCGUGGAGGUCACACCUGCCAUGGCCAGCCUGCCCUCUGGGUCCUAAACCACAGUGAUGCCAGGGUUCCCUGCCCUCUGUGCCCCGCAGCUUUUGUCUGCUCUUCGUCUCCCAGCUGUUCCAUUCAGCAGCCCCAGGACGACCUGCCCUCCCCAGCCCAGGCCCCCAAGGCCCCAUUAAGGCCAGCGGUCAAAGGCCAGCCCGCACGUGCUGCAUCUUAUCGGCUCAUCUCAAGACCCCCGUUCCUCCAGGCUUGGCAACAAAAAAAAAGGGGCGGCCCCGGGCCUACUGGCUCCCUGAGGCCCCCUGCACACAAAAGGGCGGGCGACAAAGACAUUUUCUGGGAUGGCAGGUGUUGGUGUCGGAUUCCACCCGGAGCAUGGGAGGCCGGAGAAAGGCUGGGGUGGGUUUCCUGGGCAGGCGGGCAGUGCAGACACGCAGGACAGAGCCCCUCAGGGCUGAGGGGGAGGCGGCAGGAACCCCUAGCCCCGGAGGGAGGUGAGUCAGUGAGUGAACUCUUCCCCACUCCCCCAAGAGCAGGGUGCUGGGCAACUCCACUGACGUGUCAGUUCAAACACUUGUUCUUUGAACUUACCUUGUUCAAACACUGCAGCGAGAUCUUCACGUAUUUUAAUCUGAAGGGAAAGAACAUAAAAUGGAGUGAAUACAGGCCCCGCACACGCACAGCCCAACUCGAUAAUGAACACGGUGCUAAAAAUACAUCUGUUCCUGGGCUGUCUGAGUGUUCCUGCAGCUUCCGAGAUCAUUACCAACUGAAAAUUCACCUGAAAUUCCACUUGGCAGGACAAAAUUCUGGCUGCCAUCACCGGUACAGGUGUGAAACGAAGGCGACGUUAGCUUUCCCAGGAUGUGUGACAGUUUCUGUGGGAGCCCUGUAG